CAGCAAUUAGUGAUGGGGGAGGCGAGUAUUCUUCCAUAUAAACCUCACUCCUCCUCUCUCCUGAUUCCCCGCCGAUCUGACAAUUUUGUUGCUUGCGGUCUUUGAAGGGAUGCGGCUGGUGUCGAGGAAAACGCGAAGGAACAACUUCUUUGGAUCGAAGCGCUGCUACCAGAUCAACUUGGUGGUUGCUUGUGCUGCCCUUCGGCGCCUCUUCAGCUCCUGCAUCUCCACUAGGUCUUUGAAGGGAUGCGGCUGGUGUCAAGGAAAACGCGAAGGAACAACUUCUUUGGAUCGAAGCGCUGCUACCGGAUCGACUUGGUGGUUGCAUGUGCUGCCCUUCGGCACCUCUCCAGCUCGUGCAUCUCCACAAGGUUGUCGAAAGGCAAGCUAUUUCUCAGAUUGGUAAUGAUGAUGAAGUGUCGGUAUCUAGAGGAAAGCUAAUUGUGAGGGAGAUUAUGAAAUAUUGUUGUUGCCUGUGAUUCGUAUGAAAUCCGACAGAGUAUUAAAAAUUACUUUUCUCGGUCUAGCAUAAUCAUUGUUUAGGUCAACCAUAGUGUAGUAAUAGUAUUGUUAGUUUUUCCUUAUAUCAACAUAACUGUCACUCCAGAUUGGACUCAAAGGGGAAGAACACUUGCAUAUGUAUAGUCAUUCACAGGCCUCUCCAGAAUUGGUAUCAGACAACGCUUACCCAACAAAUGAAACACUGAUAUUGUUAAAGGGCUAACCCAUUCAUGGUGUAGAAUAAAAAUUUCAGUGCAUAUUAUAUCCCUGUUUGUACUGGUGUGUCAAAGUUAUUGUAGUAGAGUUUUGGCUAUGCAUAUUACUUGUCUUUUCAUGCUUGGGUGCUGCACUUAAAAUUUAAAAAAUGUUCUUCCUGGGAUAGAAUGUUAAACGACAAGGUUUAUUCUUCUUCAGAACAAAGCUCUUCGGGAGUUGGGGGGUUAUCUUUUAGAUUAAGCAUUAGAGAAACUUGGUCUUUCACUAAUCCAUAAGUAAUUCAAUAAUUCCAGUUGCACCAAAAUUAUUUAAUGGGUUUCAUAUUCUCCAUUCAUGCAUGUUUACAAUCACCGAGGAACUAAAACUACCUCAUUAUAAAAGUCAAACAUCUAAUUCUAAGAUGCAAAAGGCAUGUCAAAAUUCAUGUUAGUACAAUAUGGCAUCUUGAAAGAUAGAACUGUACCUUCUAUUAUCUCUCCUUUUGCAUGUAGCUUACAAGAUUAAUUGCAGAGGUGAAGACAGAAGACAUGGUGUGGACUGGAGUAAACCAUGAUAAGUUAAGUUGAAGUUUCCUGAGUUGAUGAAGCAGCAGACGGAUCACUGAGUCGAGUAGUCUAGAGGUGAAAACAGAAGACAUGGUAUGGACUGCAGCAAGGGGGCUCCUUAGUGCAUUGUGAUCAUGGAGAUAACGAAAAUAAAAGUUUGUUGGAGCUAGAGUGUGAGUUGCCACUGAAUAAAACGAUUUUCCUGUUGACGUCUUUUAAGUAAACUUUCCAAUU